AUUGAACGCUGGCGGCAGGCCUAACACAUGCAAGUCGAACGCGUGGCGCACGGGUGAGUAAUUUCUGGGAAACUGCCCGAUGGUGGGGCAUAACUACUGAAAACGGUAGCUAAUACCGCAUACCAUCGGAUGUGCCCAGAUGGGCUUAGCUAGUAGUUGGGGUAACGGCUCACCAAGGCCACGAUCCCUAGCUGGUCUGAGAGGAUAACCAGCAAGACGGGAACUGAGACACGGUCCAGACUCCUACGGGAGGCAGAGUAGGGGAAGAUUGGAAAAUGGGCGCAAGCCUGGUACGUCCAGGCCGCGGGUAUGAGGAGGGCCUUCGGGUUGUAAAGUACGUUCAGCGAGGAGGCGUUACUCGCAGAAGAAGCACCGGCUAACUCCGUGCCAGCAGCCGCGGUAAUAC
rnacentral:rRNA from 1 species